rnacentral:rRNA from 1 species
GGGUUGUCAUGCCAAUGGCAUUGCCCGGUAGCUAAAUGCGGAAGAGAUAAGUGCUGAAAGCAUCUAAGCACGAAACUUGCCCCGAGAUGAGUUCUCCCUGAGACUAUAAGUCUCCUGAAGGAACGUUGAAGACGACGACGUUGAUAGGUCGGGUGUGUAAGUGUAGCGAUACAUUGAGCUAACCGAUACUAAUGAACCGUGAGGCUUAACCUU